GUGCUUGCUUCAGCAGCACAUAUACUAAAAUUGAAACGAUACAUUAAAGAUGAACAUGGCCCUUGCACAAGGAUGACACACAAAUUUGUGAAGCAUUCCUUGUUUUU
ensembl:snRNA U6 U6 spliceosomal RNA